rnacentral:rRNA from 1 species
GAAAGGCCUCUUCGGAGGUACUCGAGUGGCGAACGGGUGAGUAACACGUGGGCAAUCUGCCCUGCACUUCGGGAUAAGCCUGGGAAACUGGGUCUAAUACCGAAUAGGACCUUUAGACGCAUGUCUUUUGGUGGAAAGCUUUUGCGGUGUGGGAUGGGCCCGCGGCCUAUCAGCUUGUUGGUGGGGUGAUGGCCUACCAAGGCGACGACGGGUAGCCGGCCUGAGAGGGUGUCCGGCCACACUGGGACUGAGAUACGGCCCAGACUCCUACGGGAGGCAGCAGUGGGGAAUAUUGCACAAUGGGCGCAAGCCUGAUGCAGCGACGCCGCGUGGGGGAUGACGGCCUUCGGGUUGUAAACCUCUUUCACCAUCGACGAAGGUCCGGGUUUUCUCGGAUUGACGGUAGGUGGAGAAGAAGCACCGGCCAACUACGUGCCAGCAGCCGCGGUAAUACGUAGGGUGCGAGCGUUGUCCGGAAUUACUGGGCGUAAAGAGCUCGUAGGUGGUUUG